rnacentral:rRNA from 1 species
UGGGGAAUAUUGGACAAUGGGGGCAACCCUGAUCCAGCAAUACCGCGUGAGUGAAGAAGGCCUUCGGGUUGUAAAGCUCUUUUACCGGGGAAGAUAAUGACGGUACCCGGGGAAUAAGCACCGGCUAACUUCGUGCCAGCAGCCGCGGUAAUACGAAGGGUGCAAGCGUUACUCGGAAUUACUGGGCGUAAAGCGUGCGUAGGCGGUCUGUUAAGUCUGCUGUGAAAUCCCCGGGCUCAACCUGGGAAUGGCAGUGGAAACUGGCGGGCUAGAGUACGGUAGAGGAUGGUGGAAUUCCCGGUGUAGCGGUGAAAUGCGUAGAGAUCGGGAGGAACACCAGUGGCGAAGGCGGCCAUCUGGACCAGUACUGACGCUGAGGCACGAAAGCGUGGGGAGCAAACA